UAAAAAUUUAAUUUGAAAUAUUUAAGUAGUAUUAGUUAAGUUCUUUAAAUUUAAAAAAUUUGGCGGUAUUUUAGUCUAUUCAGAGGAACCUGUUUUGUAAUCGAUAGUCCACGAUGGAUCUCACUUAAAUUUGUUUUUAGUUUAUAUAUCGUCGUUAAAAGAAUAUUUUAUAAGAAUAAUAAUUUUCUUAAUUUUUAAUUUUAAAAUAUAUCAGAUCAAGAUGUAGCUUAUGUUUAAGUUUAUAAUGGGUUACAAUUACUGUAUUAUUGGAAAUUAGUAUGUAAUUUAUUAUUUGAAAUUGGAUUUGAUAGUAAAUUUAUAUAGAUUAAUAGAUUGAUUAUAGCUCUAAAAUAUG
rnacentral:rRNA from 1 species